rnacentral:rRNA from 1 species
UACAGGGGGUGCAAACGUUGCUCGGAAUUAUUGGGCGUAAAGCGCACGUAGGCGGUUCGUUAUGUCAGAUGUGAAAGCCCUUGGCUCAACUGAGGAAGUGCAUCUGAAACUGGCGAGCUAGAGUAUGUAAGAGGGUCGCGGAAUUCCCGGUGUAGAGGUGAAAUUCGUAGAUAUCGGGAGGAACACCGGUGGCGAAGGCGGCGACCUGGGACAAUACUGACGCUGAGGUGCGAAAGCGUGGGGUGCAAACAGG